GGGGUCAUGGCUCAGUGGUAGAGCGCUCACCUAGCAUAUGUGAGGGACACUGAGUUUGAUUCUCAGCACCA
rnacentral:tRNA from 1 species